rnacentral:rRNA from 1 species
UUGUUCCUACGGGACGCAGCAGUGGGGAAUAUUGCGCAAUGGGGGAAACCCUGACGCAGCAACGCCGCGUGCGGGAUGAAGUAUUUCGGUACGUAAAGCUCUAUCAGCAGGAAAGAAAAUGACGGUACCUGACUAAGAAGCCCCGGCUAACUACGUGCCAGCAGCCGCGGUAAUACGUAGGGGGCAAGCGUUAUCCGGAUUUACUGGGUGUAAAGGGAGCGUAGACGGCAGCGCAAGUCUGGAGUGAAAUGCCGGGGCCCAACCCCGGAACUGCUCUGGAAACUGUGAAGCUGGAGUGCAGGAGG